rnacentral:misc_RNA from 1 species
GCAGAAGGAUCAUCAGUGAAGAUUUGGGCAGGCCAUACGGACGCCAAAAAGUGUCCCUGGCCGCCUACACCCACUAUACAUCCACAAACCCGUGUACACUGUCUUGGAGAAAGGCUUCAGAGAAGUUUUUUGUGGCCUCUCUUGGGGUCUUUCUUCGCUACAAACUCGAAUGGUUAGUAUGAACGUGGAACUUGGUUGGACCGUCACUGGCCAACAAACUAUACACAACUUUCGACAACGGAUCUCUUGGUUCUCCCA